rnacentral:rRNA from 1 species
AUGCAAGUCGAACGAGACCUUCGGGUCUAGUGGCGCACGGGUGCGUAACGCGUGGGAAUCUGCCCUUAGGUACGGAAUAACUCAGAGAAAUUUGUGCUAAUACCGUAUGAUGUCGAAAGACCAAAGAUUUAUCGCCUAAGGAUGAGCCCGCGUAAGAUUAGCUUGUUGGUGAGGUAAAAGCUCACCAAGGCGACGAUCUUUAGCUGGUCUGAGAGGAUGAUCAGCCACACUGGGACUGAAACACGGCCCAGACUCCUACGGGAGGCAGCGGUGGGGAAUAUUGGACAAUGGGCGAAAGCCUGAUCCAGCAAUGCCGCGUGAGUGAUGAAGGCCUUAGGGUUGUAAAGCUCUUUUACCAGGGAUGAUAAUGACAGUACCUGGAGAAUAAGCUCCGGCUAACUCCGUGCCAGCAGCCGCGGUAAUACGGAGGGAGCUAGCGUUGUUCGGAAUUACUGGGCGUAAAGCGUACGUAGGCGGUUAUUCAAGUCAGAGGUGAAAGCCUGGAGCUCAACUCCAGAACUGCCUUUGAAACUAGAUAGCUAGAAUCUUGGAGAGGUGAGUGGAAUUCCGAGUGUAGAGGUGAAAUUCGUAGAUAUUCGGAAGAACACCAGUGGCGAAGGCGACUCACUGGACAAGUAUUGACGCUGAGGUACGAAAGCGUGGGGAGCAAACAGGAUUAGAUACCCUGGUAGUCCACGCCGUAAACGAUGAUAACUAGCUGUUCGGGCUCUACGAGC